AUUGAACGCUGGCGGCAGGCCUAACACAUGCAAGUCGAGCGAGCGGCGGACGGGUGAGUAAUGUAUGGGAAACUGCCCGAUGGAGGGGGAUAAAUACUGGAAACGGUAGCUAAUACCGCAUACCAUCAGAUGUGCCCAGAUGGGAUUAGCUAGUGGGUGGGGUAAUGGCUCCCCUAGGCGACGAUCCCUAGCAGGUCUGGGAGGAUGACCAGCCACACUGGAACUGAGACACGGUCCAGACUCCUACGGGAGGCAGCAGUGGGGAAUAUGGCACAAUGGGCGCAAGCCUGAUGCAGCCAUGCCGCGUGUGUGAAGAAGGCCUUCGGGUUGUAAAGGACUUUCGUCGGGGAAGCGUUACCCGAAGAAUAAGCACCGGCUAACUCCGUGCCAGCCGCCGCGGUAAUAC
rnacentral:rRNA from 1 species